AUGAACGCUAGCUACAGGCUUAACACAUGCAAGUCGAGGGGCAGCAUGGUCUUAGCUUGCUAAGGCCGAUGGCGACCGGCGCACGGGUGAGUAACACGUAUCCAACCUGCCGUCUACUCUUGGACAGCCUUCUGAAAAGGAAGAUUAAUACAAGAUGGCAUCAUGAGUCCGCAUGUUCACAUGAUUAAAGGUAUUCCGGUAGACGAUGGGGAUGCGUUCCAUUAGAUAGUAGGCGGGGUAACGGCCCACCUAGUCUUCGAUGGAUAGGGGUUCUGAGAGGAAGGUCCCCCACAUUGGAACUGAGACACGGUCCAAACUCCUACGGGAGGCAGCAGUGAGGAAUAUUGGUCAAUGGGCGAGAGCCUGAACCAGCCAAGUAGCGUGAAGGAUGACUGCCCUAUGGGUUGUAAACUUCUUUUAUAAAGGAAUAAAGUCGGGUAUGUAUACCCGUUUGCAUGUACUUUAUGAAUAAGGAUCGGCUAACUCCGUG
rnacentral:rRNA from 1 species